rnacentral:lncRNA from 1 species
CCAAAGAUCCAAUGACGCCAAAAGUAGCUCCAUUUUGGCCUUCCAGUGGUGAAAGUUGUCACCUUUGAACUUUUCAACCAUUCUCAAGCUAUCACCCUCAAAAGAUGCCAUCUCAAGCUACACGUAGGUCCAAAAAACUCUUGAUUUGGAGUUGUAAUGGAGAAGAUAUCACUACUCAAAGAUCGCUGAACCACAAAUCCAGAAUUCGCUGUUUUGCAACUUUUUGUAAAUUAUGAGUCCAAAUCACGUCUAAAUGGUGGGGAAUGAAUUGUAAAGUAAUUCUAUGGCUCUCAUAAGUCUCCCUCACGUCACUCCACUCAAAAUGACUCACUAUCUCAUAAAACUUUCAAACACUAGUGUUACUUCAGCAAAGACACUAUCAAGGUCUUGCACAAAACUCAUAUACUCACAAAUCCAGGAGCAAUGACUUCAACAACACACUAGCAACACUCUACCAUAAGAUCCCAACCACCAAAGUAAGCAACAAAGAAAUAAUGCAAGAACAACUUACUUGGUAAGAGAGUGUGGGCCCAUAACCUAUUGAAACAUAGAAAGCAAACUCCACACAAGCAAGUUAGGACCAGCAAGGUUGCACUUCACAAAUAGAAUGUG